CCUUUCCCUUAGGGUUGGACUGGGUGGGUGUCUCAUAAAACACCACACCUCUCAUAGUUUUUACACUGACCCAGUAAGGGGGAAGGAGACCUGAGGGCUCUCAAUUCUCACACAAAGUGCCAAUCCUUAUGGGUGCAAGGAACCCACUCUGAGGAGUGUUAUGUGGGGAGAUUUACUGGGGCGGUACACCAGGCAAAUGGUAAUGCAUGUCUCCAAUGGGAGCUCAGGUAUGACAGAAUCCUCCAAUGGAAGAGAAGGGCAAAAGCUCACUUGAUCUUGAUUUUGCCUAGGAAUACAGACCAUGACAGAGGGUUUUCACAAUCCUUCUGAAUUUUUUGGGUUUUAAGCAGGAGGUGUCAGAA
rnacentral:ncRNA from 1 species